rnacentral:pre_miRNA from 1 species
GACCUACUCCCUCCGUUCGGAAUUACUUGUCUCAGAAAUGGAUGUAUUUAGAAUUAAAAUACGUCUAGAUACAUCCAUUUCUGCGACAAGUAAUUUUGAACGGAGGGAGUAGUAU